ACAAUGUCCUAAUUCUUAGAUUACCUUACUGUUGCUCAUUGGUCUACUGUAGUAACCUCUUGAGUAGUCUUUGAUUACUAUGAAAAUUGAACAUCUUUUUUGUGAAUUCUUAGGACCUCUUGUGUGAGUUAUCUGUUUUUAUCAUGUGAUGAAUUAUUUUAUUAUAUGCUGUCAAAAAUUUUUAGUCAUUUGAAAUUUUACUGUACAGAAUAUUUAUUCUCUUUUUCUGUAUUUCUUCAUUUUGAACAUCGUCACCUCUUGUAGUUUGUAUAUUCUAGUCGGUAAACGUUUUACCAGAUUAUUAUGACAGAAGCUGGGA
rnacentral:lncRNA from 1 species